UUUCGUAGGUGAACCUGCGAAGAUCAUUAAAAAUUCUGCAUUGUUUGGUGGAACAAUAAUCAUCCUCCUUGUGAAUUUGUUGUUUGUAAUAAUUUUUAAAAGAAAAUUAUUUACUGUCUAUCCUGGAUAGUAAAGUUGAAGGAUAUCUAGAAACUUUGCUUUCAGGAAUAGUAUGUAUAAAUUUUCAUUUAAGACCUUUUUUUAAAUUAAACUUUUGUAUUCAUUUGUCUAAAAUUUAUUUUUAAAUAAUUAAAAACAACUUUUGACAAUGGAUCUCUUGUUCUCGCAACGAUGAAGAACGCAGCAAAAUGCGAUAAGUAGUGUGAAUUGCAGAUACGUGAAUCAUCAAAUCUUCGAACGCAUAUUGCACUUUUUUAGUUUACUAAAAAGUAUGUCUGUUUGAGUAUCAGUAAAAUAUUCUCAAUAACUUUUUGUUUAUUGUUAUGAGUGUUUUACAACGAUACAAGUUGUUUCACUUUAAAUUGACUUUAUAUAAACCUAUCCAUUUAGGUCAAUUUUAAAAUUGGAUAAAAUUUUCCUGUAAAAGGAAUAACUGACAGUUUUAAGAAAGAUCUAAAAAGUUUCUUAAAGAAAUUAUAAUAAACUAACUUGAUUCAAAUCAGAUAAGAGUACCGCUGAACUUAAGCAUAUCAAUAAGCGAGGAAAGAACUAACAAGGAUUCCCUAGUAACGGCGAGUGAAGCGGAAGAGCUCAAAUUGAAAUCUUCAAGGUUUCCCUUGACGAUUGUAGUUUAUAGAAGUGUUUUCUGUUAGAGAGGUGUAAAGUUCUUUGAAUAGGACAUCAUAGAGGUGAAAUCCGUAUUUGAUCACUUUCUACUAACGUUGUGAUACACCUUCAACGAGUGGAUUGUUGGAAUGCAGUCAAAUGGUGUAAAUUUCAUCUAAAGCUAAUAUUGGCGAGACGAUAGCGAACAAGUACCGUGAGGAAAGAUGAAAAGAACUUUGAAAAGAGAGUUAACAGUACGUGAAUUGUCAAAAGGAAGCGUUGACGCCAGUGUUGUUUUCCGAAAAUCAAUUACGAAUGGCGGAUUCUAAUUUCAUACCUUAAAGCUUGUUUCUUUCUUUCCUGUCUUCUUAAUGCACUUUUCGGUUAACAAGUCAACAUCAAUUUCUUUGUUGUAAAAGGUUAAGAGGAAGGUGCUUUACUUUCGGUAAGUGUUAUAGCCUUUUAACUCUGCAAUCGGAGAGAUUGAGGUCUGCAGCGUAGAUCUUCGGGCUAGAUACGUUUUGCUAAGUUAUAGCUUUCAUAGACAACUUGUUGACUAUGUUUAGUCUUGUAGCUUACUCGCAGAUGCUAUUUUACCUACGCUUAGGAUGU
rnacentral:misc_RNA from 1 species